rnacentral:rRNA from 1 species
GACAGCAGCAGCCGCGGUAAUACGGAGGGAGCUAGCGUUGUUCGGAAUUACUGGGCGUAAAGCGCGCGUAGGCGGUUACUCAAGUCAGAGGUGAAAGCCCGGGGCUCAACCCCGGAACUGCCUUUGAAACUAGGUGACUAGAAUCUUGGAGAGGUCAGUGGAAUUCCGAGUGUAGAGGUGAAAUUCGUAGAUAUUCGGAAGAACACCAGUGGCGAAGGCGACUGACUGGACAAGUAUUGACGCUGAGGUGCGAAAGCGUGGGGAGCAAACAGGAUUAGAUACCCGCGUAGUCCCUGUCUCUUAUAC